rnacentral:lncRNA from 1 species
UUAAGUUAAUUUGUGGAAUUUAUUUCCUUCUUAAUGCAUUUGAGACAAUCAGUUGUGUUGUGACAAGGUAGGGGUGGUAUACAGAAGAUAGCCCUAUUUCAGUGUUACUCACAAUUUUUUGUAAGGGGGCCAAGUUGGGUUGAGACAGUGAAUUCAGAGGGCCGCACAGAUCUUUAAUUUGUUGUACUUUUUCUUCCAAAAUUAUCAAUUAUCAAAUGAGAGCAAAUUCAGAACAAAAGAGCACAUGCAAUUGAUUUGAUGUACAUCACAAAUAUAUACAUACUGCACACGCAUCAAAUAGGCUACAUCACAUGCCUAAGACCCAUGUUAAGGGUUACCUCAGUAGUUGGAUGAGCUCCUUGACUGAAUUAAUUCUAAAUGUAUAGUCUGUUGUUGCUAUCCUUGUCAGGCAAUCCAGGUUUGCAUUGGUCAGUCUGUUUCUUUGUUUUUGUUUCACAAUGUUCAUUGUUGAUAAUGUUGCUUCACAUGAAUAGGUGCUGACAAAAAAAAAAUGUUUUGCACACACUGCUUCAGAAGUGGAUACUCUGUGUCUGACAAGGCUCCAGAAAUGGGUAACACCUGAUCUUAGUUCACCUUGCAAUGUGUCAUUUGCCAGCAGCUCCACUAUCUCACUCUCUAUUCCAGCACGGUCAGGACAGAGGGCUGUGAUGACUGGUUUCAGAGAUGACAUUGGCACAUGAAAGGGGGUCUCAAUGAAGUAGUCCAUGAUAUCCUUGAAUCUUGACUCAAACUCCAACUUCAACUCUUCCAACACACGCACAAAUGCACUGUGGUGGAAAAAGUACUCAAUUCUCAUACAUGAGUAAAAGUAAAGACACCUUAAUAGAAAAUAACUCAAGUAAAAGUGAAAGUCACCCAGUAAAAUACUACUUGAGUAAAAGCCUAAAAGUAUUUGGUUUUAAAUAUACUUAAGUAUCAAAAGUAAAUGUAGUUGCUAAAAUAUACUUAAGUAUCAAAAUAAAAGUACAAAUCAUUUAAAAAAUCCUUAUAUUAAGCAAACCAGACGGCACAAUUUUUUUUUAACGGAUAGCCAGGGUCACACUCCAACACUCAGACAUAAUUUACAAACAAAGUAUUUGUGUUUAGUGAGUCCACCAGAUCAGAGGCAGUAAGGAUGAGCAGGGAUGUUCUCUUGAUAAAUGUGCGAAUUCAACCAUUUUCUGUCCUGCUAAGCAUUCACAAUGUAACUAGUACUUUUGGGUGUCAGGGAAAAUGUAAAAAGUACAUACAUUUCUUUAGAAAUGUAGCGAAGUAAAAGUUGUCAAAAAUAUAAAUAGUAAAGUAAUGUACAGAUACCAAAAAAUCCUAGUUAUGUAGUACUUUAAAGUAUUUUUACUUUAAACUUUACACCACUGCAAAUGCGUCAUAGCUAAAAUGUUGCAGUAUGUCUGGGUUGGAUGUGGUGACCGCUCUGAGUUUUGGGAAAUGAACAAACUGUCUGUCAGGUAUGAACAGUGAGGUUAUUUUACUUUGAAAUGUUGUGACCACACGCAACAUUUUGACCAGAGUUUUAGCUUUCCCUUGGAGCUGGAGAUUCACCGUGUUCAGGUGGCAGGUGAUGUCUGUAAGAAAAGUCAGCUUUACUAUCCACUGUGGAUCAUCCAGCUCUGGCUCCUCUCUCCCCUUGCUUGGAACAAAUUCACAGAUUUGAGGACAGAGAAAUCUUUCCAAAACUCUGCCACGAGACAGCCAUCUCACCUUAUUGUGAAAUAUCAAGUCGCCGUACUCUGUCUGGUAUUCCUCCAGCAACUUGCGGAAUUGCCGGUGAUUCAGUGCCCUCGCAACAAUAAUGUUCACCACACACACACGACUUGCUGCAUCACGUUCUGUAAGUCACAGUAUUUGAGUUUAGCCACAAGCGCUUCCUGAUGAAUGAUACAAUGAAAUGUAACAAAUUCGGGAAUAUCCUUUCUCUUUCUCAUCAGGCCUAUGAGUCCCUUCUCCUUCCCUCACAUGUUUGACCAGUCAAUAUUAUUAUCAGCAAAAAAAUGUGACAAAGGCUUUCAGAAUAUCCUCUCCUCGUGUUUGUCCCUGAAGGGGCACUAAACAUAAAAGUUCUUCUCUGAAC